rnacentral:rRNA from 1 species
CAGUCGCCGCGGUAAUACGUAGGUGGCAAGCGUUGUCCGGAAUUAUUGGGCGUAAAGGGCUCGCAGGCGGUUUCUUAAGUCUGAUGUGAAAGCCCCCGGCUCAACCGGGGAGGGUCAUUGGAAACUGGGAAACUUGAGUGCAGAAGAGGAGAGUGGAAUUCCACGUGUAGCGGUGAGGUGCGUAGAGAUGUGGAGGAACACCAGUGGCGAAGGCGACUCUCCGGUCUGUAACUGACGCUGAGGAGCGAAAGCGUGGGGAGCGAACAGGAUUAGAUACCCCCGUAGUCCCUGUCUCUUAUAC